UACGUAGGGUACAAGCGUUAAUCGGAAUUACUGGGCGUAAAGCGUGCGCAGGCGGUUCGGAAAGAAAGAUGUGAAAUCCCAGGGCUUAACCUUGGAACUGCAUUUUUAACUGUCGAACUCGAGUAUGUCAGAGGGGGGUAGAAUUCCGCGUGUAGCAGUGAAAUGCGUAGAUAUGCGGAGGAAUACCGAUGGCGAAGGCAGCCCCCUGGGAUAAUACUGACGCUCAUGCACGAAAGCGUGGGUAGCAAACAGG
rnacentral:rRNA from 1 species